UUGGAGGGCAAGUCUGGUGCCAGCAGCCGCGGUAAUUCCAGCUCCAAUAGCGUAUAUUAAAGUUGUUGCAGUUAAAAAGCUCGUAGUUGAAUUUCGGGAUUGACGUGAUGGUCAUGCCUUAAGGGGUAUGAACUGUUACAGUUGAUUUCUCACCUUCUGGAGAAACUUGAUGUCCUUUAUUGGGUGUCUUGCGGAUCCAGGACCUUUACCUUGAAAAAAUUAGAGUGUUUAAAGCAGGCAUUUUUGCUCGAAUACAUUAGCAUGGAAUAAUAGAAUAGGACGGCAUGGUUCUAUUUUGUUGGUUUCUAGGAUCACCGUAAUGAUUAAUAGGGAUAGUUGGGGGCAUUAGUAUUCAAUUGUCGGAGGUGAAAUUCUUGGAUUUAUUGAAGACUAACUACUGCGAAAGCAUUUGCCAAGGAUGUUUUCAUUAAUCAAGAACGAAAGUUAGGGGAUCGAAGACGAUCAGAUACCGUCGUAGUCUUAACCAUAAACUAUGCCGACUAGGAAUCAGACGAUGUUAAUUUUUUAAUGACUCGUUUGGCACCUUACGGGAAACCAAAGUGUUUGGGUUC
rnacentral:rRNA from 1 species